rnacentral:tRNA from 1 species
GUGGCGAUGGUCUAGUGGUCAAGACGCUGCAUCAAAAUGUCUUGGUAAAACAAGCUCGUUAAGUUAUUACCAUACGACUGUGCACGAGCGUGUAGGUCUGUAUUGCAGGGUAACUACACCGGUAACAUGACGAUGCAGAGAUCGUGAGUUCGAAUUUCGCUCGCCGCG